AGUGAACGCUGGCGGCGUGCUUAACACAUGCAAGUCGAACGAGAACGGGUUUAGCUUGCUAUAAUUGUCAGCUAAGUGGCGCACGGGUGAGUAAUGUAUAGGUAAUAUGCCUCUUACUAAGGGAUAACAAAUGGAAACGUUUGCUAAUACCUUAUACUCCUUACUAACAUAAGUUAAUAAGGGAAAGAUUUAUUGGUAAGAGAUUAGCCUGUAUUGUAUCAGUUAGUUGGUGGGGUAAUGGCUUACCAAGACUAUGACACAUAACUGGUUUGAGAGGAUGAUCAGUCACACUGGAACUGAGACACGGUCCAGACUCCUACGGGAGGCAGCAGUGGGGAAUAUUGCACAAUGGACGAUAGUCUGAUGCAGCAACGCCGCGUGGAGGAUGACACAUUUCGGUGCGUAAACUCCUUUUAUAUGAGAAGAUAAUGACGGUAUUAUAUGAAUAAGCACCGGCUAACUCCGUGCCAGCCGCCGCCGUAA
rnacentral:rRNA from 1 species